rnacentral:rRNA from 1 species
UACGUAGGGUGCAAGCGUUGGCCGGAAUUAUUGGGCGUAAAGAGCUCGUAGGCGGUUUGUCGCGUCUGCUGUGAAAACUCGGGGCUUAACCCCGGGCCUGCAGUGGGUACGGGCAGACUAGAGUGCGGUAGGGGAGACUGGAAUUCCUGGUGUAGCGGUGAAAUGCGCAGAUAUCAGGAGGAACACCGGUGGCGAAGGCGGGUCUCUGGGCCGUAACUGACGCUGAGGAGCGAAAGCUAGGGGAGCAAACAGG